GGCCCUUCUCAUUUACCCAUGAAGGAGGGGUGGGCGGAGCCUGGCAGCUGUCGCUUCUCUCUACAGCAGGGGUGGGCUCUUUAAGGUCUUUAAGCUCUUUAAGGGGUGGGAGUCUCAUAACUUCACUGGAGCCAGAGCAUGCCGAGAGAGGCAAACUCUUGGCGGUUUGGGGUUAUUCUCCACCGGUUCCUGGAGAUCCGAGGGUAGCAAGUGCCAAUGGCUGUGCUGGGGUCACAGAGCUUACAGAGCUCCUAUCUUAUCCACACCCAGGGCAUGGCGCCUUCUUCCCUGGCAGACAAGUAGGGAAUGGUCUUUGCCACUUCUCACCGUGGCCACUAGAGAGCGACAGUGCUCCAUCUUCUAGAAAGAAACCGUCCAAUCCCCGCGCCUUCUGCCGAGGAGCCUGGCGAGCCACCUCCCUGAACUUCAGGACUUUCAGUUUCACUCCCUUAUGGUUUUGCACCUUUCUCUACUCUUCUACUCCCAAACACCAAGAUAAAAUGCCACCAUCGUCACCCUUUGGAAUGCCCUAUCUAGACACUUCUCCUCCCUCCAGCUGAGCAUACAGCUGAGGGAAGGAGAGGAUGCGGGGGAAAGGCGGCCACCCUGCUCAGUCCCUGGAAGGCCACUGGCACAGCCGGAGGAGCCAGGCCAGCCGCCAGCCCCUGCCCCUGCCAGGGUUUGCAU